rnacentral:rRNA from 1 species
GAGUUUGAUCAUGGCUCAGAUUGAACGCUGGCGGCAUGCCUUACACAUGCAAGUCGAACGGCAGCACGGGAGCUUGCUCCUGGUGGCGAGUGGCGAACGGGUGAGUAAUGCAUCGGAACGUAUCCUGGAGUGGGGGAUAACGUAGCGAAAGUUACGCUAAUACCGCAUAUUCUGUGAGCAGGAAAGCGGGGGACCUUCGGGCCUCGCGCUCUUGGAGCGGCCGAUGUUGGAUUAGCUAGUUGGUGAGGUAAAGGCUCACCAAGGCGACGAUCCGUAGCAGGUCUGAGAGGAUGAUCUGCCACACUGGAACUGAGACACGGUCCAGACUCCUACGGGAGGCAGCAGUGGGGAAUUUUGGACAAUGGGGGCAACCCUGAUCCAGCCAUGCCGCGUGAGUGAAGAAGGCCUCGGUU